AUGACUUCCAGUCUCAAAAUUAUUCAACCCCCUAAACCAAGGGCUUCGUUAGUUGCACAAGGUGUGUUUUGAGCUGGAACACUUGAAAUACCUGAACUGGCUAGGGGUUUGUUGAGUGUCACGUUUGACUGCAUGUUAGAAAUAUGGCUUAGUCAAAAGAAUGGUUCACAAAGUUAAGAAAAGAGGUCAUCGCCCUGCACAAACAAGGAAUAGGAUGCAAAAAGAUAGCGAAAGCUAUGACUGUUCCUUGAGAUACUGUUGCGAGCAUAGUUCACAAGUUCUAAGUUGAAGGAACAGUGGUUACCCUACCUGGAUGUGGCAGAAAAAGAUGUCUCUCAAUGGCUGGAACCAGAUUUUUGAGAAGGCAGGUUGUGAAAAAAACUUUGAGUGACUGCAAAUGACCUGCAGCAAGACUUGGUGGCAACAGGCACUGAGGUUUCAGUGAGCACAGUAAGGCGCAUUCUAAAAGCAGGAGGCUUCCAUGCCAGAACUCCAAGACGUACACCACUACUGAUCCAAAAGCACGAGAGCUCAAAAUCAU